rnacentral:rRNA from 1 species
AUUGAACGCUGGCGGCAUGCCUUACACAUGCAAGUCGAACGGUAACAGGUCUUCGGAUGCUGACGAGUGGCGAACGGGUGAGUAAUACAUCGGAACGUGCCUAGUAGUGGGGGAUAACUACUCGAAAGAGUGGCUAAUACCGCAUGAGAUCUACGGAUGAAAGCAGGGGAUCGCAAGACCUUGUGCUACUAGAGCGGCCGAUGGCAGAUUAGGUAGUUGGUGGGAUAAAAGCUUACCAAGCCGACGAUCUGUAGCUGGUCUGAGAGGACGAUCAGCCACACUGGGACUGAGAAACGGCCCAGACUCCUACGGGAGGCAGCAGUGGGGAAUUUUGGACAAUGGGCGCAAGCCUGAUCCAGCAAUGCCACGUGCAGGAUGAAGGCCUUCGGGUUGUAAACUGCUUUUGUACGGAACGAAAAGCCCCGGGUUAAUACCCUGGGGUCAUGACGGUACCGUAAGAAUAAGCACCGGCUAACUACGUGCCAGCCGCCGCCGUAAGAC